GCCAGUUUGGCUCAGUGGAUAGAGCGUCAGCCUGCGGACCGAAGGUUCACAGGUUCAAUUCCUGUCAAGGGCA
rnacentral:tRNA from 1 species